rnacentral:tRNA from 1 species
GGAGAGGUGGCAGAGCGGUUGAAUGCGUCGGUCUCGAAAACCGAUUUAUCCGAAAGGAUAACGAGGGUUCGAAUCCCUCCCUCUCCG